rnacentral:rRNA from 1 species
AAUCAACGCUGGCGGCGUGCCUAACACAUGCAAGUCGAACGCGAAAGCCCCGCAAGGGGUAAGUAGAGUGGCAAACGGGUGAGUAACACGUGGGUGACCUGCCCUCGAGUGGGGGAUAACGUCCCGAAAGGGGACGCUAAUACCGCAUAAUAUGCCGCCUUUUAAGAGGUGGACAUCAAAGCUGGGGAUCGCAAGACCUAGCGCUUGAAGAGGGGCCCGCGCCUGAUUAGCUAGUUGGUGGGGUAANGGCUCACCAAGGCAACGAUCAGUAUCCGGCCUGAGAGGGCGGACGGACACACUGGGACUGAGACACGGCCCAGACUCCUACGGGAGGCAGCAGUGGGAAUAUUGCACAAUGGGCGAAGCCUGAUGCAGCGACGCCGCGUGAGGGAUGACGGCCU